UGGGUGAUUAGCUCAGUCGGUAGAGCAGCUGACUCUUAAUCAGCGGGUCGUGGGUUCGAUUCCCUCAUCACCCACCAG
rnacentral:tRNA from 1 species